GUGAUGAUGGUGGUGAUGUGUUCAUAGAAAUUGCCUGACAGCUGUGACUGGAUUCUCCUGCUUGUGUGGCAUGAUGCAGAGUCCUGUUGCC